rnacentral:rRNA from 1 species
UACGGAGGGUGCGAGCGUUGUCCGGAAUCACUGGGCGUAAAGGGCGCGUAGGCGGCCUGAUAAGUAGGGGGUGAAAUCCUGCGGCUUAACCGCAGGGCUGCCUUCUAAACUGUCAGGCUUGAGCACAGUAGAGGCAGGUGGAAUUCCCGGUGUAGCGGUGGAAUGCGUAGAGAUCGGGAAGAACAUCAGUGGCGAAGGCGGCUCACUGGCCCGAUACUGACGCUGAGGCACGAAAGCGUGGGGAGCAAACAGG